rnacentral:tRNA from 1 species
UAAAGCAUAGUAUAUUAUUAUUACUCACUUACACUGAGUAGAUGGCUAUUAAGCCUGUUUUAA